GGGAAUAAAUGUGGUGUUCUUUCAGAAUCCAGCACCAAACUGCCAGAGCAGAAGAUCCAGUGUAAUAGGACUCUCUCAUGGCCAAGCAUGAGACCUGGCUUAUUCCAAUCUCAGGAACUAAGCAGUACCAGGAGACCCAGGUCCAUUGGCUCAGCAAGCACCGAGAAAGGAUCACACCAAGGAGCAAACUAACAAUGGGUUUGCUGGAGUGGAUGGACCCAGAGAGCAAUCACCAGCACUCAUACCUUGGAAGAAUCUGGUGGAUGACUGAGAAGAACCCAAGUAGCAGCUUCCCCACUAACCACACACCUGGGAGAAGCACAUCAUUCACAGCCAUGAGCUCACCCUCCUCGCUCAGACUUCCAGGCUGACAGAGAGUGAGCGGAGGUGAAAACAAGCUCCAGUGAGUUUUGCUUUCUCUCUUCUCUUGGCUGAGAAGAUCCUGGCUGUUGGCUUUCCUGUUGUCAUUAAUGAUGUGACUGCACUUUUUUUAAUGCACACGCGGAACAUUCGUUCAUUUAAUAAACAUAUGUUGCAGGCCUAUUCCCGGCAAACAUUAGGAGGCAGGAUGCAGUCUAGCAGUCAAGAAAGGGAAUUCUGGUGCCUGUCUGAAAUGAGUUCAAGUCCUAGCCUUGUUCAGUCCCAGUCUAGUGAGAGUCUGCUGCUAUACUUACUCGUGUUACUACUCAGUGGAAGUCCUAAGCUGGGUGCUGGUGGGGAGAGGGACAGUACUCAAGGAGCAUUCCUGCUAGAAGAGGCAUUAAGACAAGUACACAAAUAGCCCGCGAUUGUGAAAUAGGAAAGAUGCAGAAUAUGACAGGUAACCUAAUAGGCUAUUUAGAAUUAUAAGCACUGUCUCUUUCAAGACUGUUCCUUGGGGAGGCCUCAUAUUUACAUAUAAAGCAUUGCUGCUAUGGUUA